AUUGAACGCUGGCGGCAUGCCUUACACAUGCAAGUCGAACGGCAGCGCGGGAGCAAUCCUGGCGGCGAGUGGCGAACGGGUGAGUAAUAUAUCGGAACGUGCCCAGUAGUGGGGGAUAGCCCGGCGAAAGCCGGAUUAAUACCGCAUGAGACCUGAGGGUGAAAGCGGGGGAGUCGCAAGACCUCGCGCUAUUGGAGCGGCCGAUAUCAGAUUAGCUAGUUGGUGGGGUAAAGGCCUACCAAGGCAACGAUCUGUAGUUGGUCUGAGAGGACGACCAGCCACACUGGGACUGAGACACGGCCCAGACUCCUACGGGUGGCAGCAGUAGGGAAUAUUGCACAAUGGGCGAAAGCCUGAUGCAGCAACGCCGCGUGCGCGAUGAAGGUCUUCGGAUCGUAAAGCGCUUUUGUCCGGAAAGAAAAGCACUGGAUUAAUACUUCGGUGUUCUGACGGUACCGGAAGAAUAAGCACCGGCUAACUUCGUGCC
rnacentral:rRNA from 1 species